rnacentral:misc_RNA from 1 species
UUAAGUUCAGCGGGUAGUCCUACCUGAUUUGAGGCCAGAGUCAAAAAAUUGCCCAAGGGCGAUUAGAAGCUUACAGUCACACGUCUUACCAGUGAAACUUAUUACACCAGACAACAAUGUUAUGUUUGCUAACUCUUUUAAGGCGAGCCAGACAAGCUGGCAACACCCAAAUCCAAGCCAUUAAGAAACCCUAAUGGUUG